GAGUUUGAUCGUGGCUCAGGACGAACGCUGGCGGCGUGCUUAACACAUGCAAGUCGAGCGGAAAGGCCCUUUCGGGGGUACUCGAGCGGCGAACGGGUGAGUAACACGUGAGUAACCUGCCCCAGUCUUUGGGAUAACCCUCGGAAACGAGGGCUAAUACCGGAUAUGACAUUCCACCGCAUGGUGUGGGUGUGGAAAGUUUUUCGGUCUGGGAUGGGCUCGCGGCCUAUCAGCUUGUUGGUGGGGUGAUGGCCUACCAAGGCGACGACGGGUAGCCGGCCUGAGAGGGCGACCGGCCACACUGGGACUGAGACACGGCCCAGACUCCUACGGGAGGCAGCAGUGGGGAAUAUUGCACAAUGGGCGGAAGCCUGAUGCAGCGACGCCGCGUGAGGGAUGAC
rnacentral:rRNA from 1 species